AACCUUUGCAACCAUUAACACCACCGCACUACCACUUUUUAAGGUCUUAAAAAAAAAAGACAAAAAAAGUAUAAUUUUUUUCCUCUUUUGAUUCACUUUCUGAGAAAAUGAGCAGUGGAGAUCUUCUUAAUAUCGAACCCCUUGACCUCAAAUUUCCUUUCGAGCUGAAGAAGCAGAUCUCUUGUUCAAUUCAUUUGUCAAAUAAUACUGAAAACCAUGUUACUUUCAAAGUCAAAACUACGAAUCCCAAAAAGUAUUGUGUUCAACCCAACACAGGAAUUGUGUUUCCUCGAUCGACUUUUGAUGUUAUAGGUA